GUAGAGUAGUGCCUAGCCCUGUAGGUGGGAACAACCAUGGUAGCGCUGAAACAGAGCAUGCGCAGAGGGAGCACAUUGGACGGACGGGCUGGACCCAGAGGAAGAGGGGACUCCAGGAGCCUGAGGCUAACCAGAACCUGAAGCUGAGCAGUAGGAAGGACGCAGCCAAGUUUCUCUACUCUCUAUCUCUCACUCAGGCACUCUAGGGUCAUGUCCCCCUCCACCCCAUUCCCAGCUCUGCGGCCUUGGGGAGGAACUCAGCCUCUCUGAGCUUUGGUUUCCCUGUCUUCAAAUUGUGAAGACCUAGUGUUAUCUCAUUAUUAAAAGAAAUAAUGGGGGCACCUUCGUGGUCC
rnacentral:lncRNA from 1 species